rnacentral:rRNA from 1 species
AUUGAACGCUGGCGGCAUGCCUUACACAUGCAAGUCGAACGGCAGCACGGGUGCUUGCACCUGGUGGCGAGUGGCGAACGGGUGAGUAAUACAUCGGAACAUGUCCUGUAGUGGGGGAUAGCCCGGCGAAAGCCGGAUUAAUACCGCAUACGAUCCACGGAUGAAAGCGGGGGACCUUCGGGCCUCGCGCUAUAGGGUUGGCCGAUGGCUGAUUAGCUAGUUGGUGGGGUAAAGGCCUACCAAGGCGACGAUCAGUAGCUGGUCUGAGAGGACGACCAGCCACACUGGGACUGAGACACGGCCCAGACUCCUACGGGAGGCAGCAGUGGGGAAUUUUGGACAAUGGGCGAAAGCCUGAUCCAGCAAUGCCGCGUGUGUGAAGAAGGCCUUCGGGUUGUAAAGCACUUUUGUCCGGAAAGAAAUCUUUGGCUCUAAUACAGUCGGGGGAUGACGGUACCGGAAGAAUAAGCACCGGCUAACUACGUG